UACGUAGGGUGCAAGCGUUGUCCGGAUUUAUUGGGCGUAAAGAGCUCGUAGGCGGUCUGUCGCGUCGGAUGUGAAAACCCAGGGCUCAACCCUGGGCCUGCAUUCGAUACGGGCAGACUAGAGUACGGCAGGGGAGACUGGAAUUCCUGGUAUAGCGGUGAAAUGCGCAGAUAUCAGGAGGAACACCGGUGGCGAAGGCGGGUCUCUGGGUCGUAACUGACGCUGAGGAGCGAAAGCGUGGGGAGCGAACAGG
rnacentral:rRNA from 1 species